GAUGAACGCUGGCGGCGUGCCUAAUACAUGCAAGUCGAGCGAAGCGGGGACGGGGGUGUAAAAAGUGAAUAACCUCCUAUAAGACUGGGAUAAAUUAGGGAAACCGGAGCUAAACCGGAUACUUAUACAUGGAUCCGCUCUGCAUUAGCUAGUUGGUAAGGUAACGGCUUACCAAGGCAACGAUGCAUAGCCGAGCUGAGAGUGUGACUGGCCACACUGGAACUGAGACACGUUCCAGACUCAUACGGGAGGAAGAAUUAGGGAAUCUUCCGCAAUGGGCGAACGCUUAACGGAGCAACGCCGCGCUAGUGAUGAAGGUCUUCGGAUCGUAAAACUCUGUUAUUAGGGAAGCGGUACCCAAUCAGAAAGCCACGGCUAACUACGUGCCAGCAGCCGCGGUAAUAC
rnacentral:rRNA from 1 species